rnacentral:lncRNA from 1 species
CUUUAACCUGAAAUUUGCACUAUCAUUUUCUAUGUUCAGUGAACCGUAAAAUUGGGGUCAAAACUCUAAUUUGGCAUUUAAAUUAGAAAAAAAACAUAUCAUAGGGCACAUGUUACUAAGUUUCAAGUUGAUUGGACUUCAUCUUCAUCAAAAACUACCUUGACCAAAAACUUUAACCUGAAGCGGGACAGACGGACAGACGAACGGAGGCACUAUCGUAGGUGGGGCA